GCACGGGUGCUGUUCGGGUAUCUCGCUGAUAUCCUGUUUUUUCUCAAACGCAAACUAAUCCCUCUGCCGCGUAGCGCGAAGUCAUCCCAUCACGCCAACGCCGACUCUACGCCAGCCCUCAAUAACCCUUUCACAGGCCCCUCCCCCACCCCCGGGUAGGCCAGUGUGAGGGGCCGGCCGCGAUGCGCUCGAGCCGCGCUGACACGCUCUGCCCAUCAUAUGGACGGUGCAAACCUGCGCUCACUGUCGCGUGUGGCCCCGACGCAACGCCAUGCACGACAUGGCCGCUGACGUCCGUAGCCCUAACUCGCGCUCUGCCGGGGCACUCCCUGACGUCACAGAUGCUCGGCCCUGGUCGCCACCACAGGUGGUUCUGGCAUGGGCCGGGACGGCGGAGGGAGGAGUGAGGGGUGGGUGGGUGGGCGCCCUGGCGCCUGAGGCACCCCCCCCCCCACGCACGGAGGUGUGGGCGUGUGUGUGUGUCUGUGCGCCGCCGCCCCGUCAUCAGCGAGGAGGCGGCGGCUGGAGUCAGCAGCUAACCAAAGAAUCAAGACGAUCGACAGCCACGGCAAGUCAAGCGCCGACGAAGCCGUUGUUCUCUUCUCGCCUUCGGCCCUUUUCCUACCUCCCUCCCUCGUCGGUUCUGUCGCGGAAGGCGGCCCGAGGCGGAAGGGGGCCUUCCGCAGCACGCAUGACCGCCGAGUCUCGUGAUGAUCCCUGCCCUCUUUCACAUCCUGCCAGACGGCUUUGCUCUCUCUCUCUCUCUGUGCCCUCACGGAGGGAGGGAGGAGGAGGAGGGGGGGGGCCACCACCUCAGCAGGCCACCAGCACGCACUGGUUCUCUGUCAUCACACACCUCUCGCGCUAAGACAAGGUUUGCCGCCUCCCUCCCACCACCACCACUACCACCCCCACCUGGUGCUGGUCUCCCUGCUACGGCAGCGGCGGCUGCCCGCUCGUUCAUCCCGUCUCCCUUAUCCUCCUGCCCCUUCCGCCCUUCCUCCUCUCUACACGGAUAUUGCGGUUUGUCGCCUCUUGCGCUCGCCGACCCGCCCCCACCCGCCACCCUAACGGCAACAG
rnacentral:misc_RNA from 1 species